rnacentral:tRNA from 1 species
GCCGAGAUCGUCUAAUCCGUUAAGGCGUCGCCCCGGACAGGCGAAGGUUGCGGGUUCAAUCCCCGCUCUUGGUC